GGCUGGUCAUGUGAUGUUAUAAUACCCAGGGAUUUUCUGCCAGGCAUGCUCUGUAGCCUUCUCUCCUCCUUCUAUCCAUCCCAGUCUGAGGAGUGAUUGCCUAUUAUUGUCCUACAUCCAGCAGCUCGCUGGGGGAUCUAUUGUUAGCCAGUGGUGACAUUCACCAUGGCUAUGACUGUGGGCUGAAUGGUUUGUUGGAACCCUGUCAUCAGAACACACUGUGGACUACAUGGUAACAGACCGCAGAGGGACGUGGCAGCAUUUCUACAUGUGACUGACUAGUGGGACUUUCUGCAGACUGGCCCAUUCCAGCCAAGCCCCAGCAUGUUGUAGGCAUCUGCUACCGACAGGAAGACCGGAGAGAGAGCAACAAAGAGGAGAAGAGAAGAGAUUGAAGGAGGGGAUGGUGAGGGAAGUCAUGCAGGAGCUGAGAAGAAC